UUGAUCCUGCCGGACCCGACUGCUAUCAGAGUGGGACUAAGCCAUGCGAGUCAACGCAGCAAUGCGUGGCAUACGGCUCAGUAACACGUAGUCAACAUGCCCAGGGGACGUGGAUAACCUCGGGAAACUGAGGAUAAACCGCGAUAGGCCAAGGUUUCUGGAAUGGACACUGGCUGAAACCUAUAUGGCCCCUGGAUUGGACUGCGGCCGAUCAGGCUGUUGGUGAGGUAAUGGCCCACCAAACCUGUAACCGGUACGGGCUUUGAGAGAAGGAGCCCGGAGAUGGGCACUGAGACAAGGGCCCAGGCCCUAUGGGGCGCAGCAGGCGCGAAAAUUCUGCAAUAGGCGAAAGCUUGACAGAGUUACUCUGAGUGAUGCCCGCUAAGGGCAUCUUUUGGCACCUCUAAAAAUGGUGCAGAAUAAGGGGUGGGCAAGUCUGGUGUCAGCCGCCGCGGUAAUACCAGCACCCCGAGUGGUCGGGACGAUUAUUGGGCCUAAAGCAUCCGUAGCUUGUUCUGCAAGUCUUCCGUUAAAUCCACCUGCUCAACAGAUGGGCUGCGGGAGAUACUACAGGGCUAGGAGGCGGGAGAGGCAAGCGGUACUCAGUGGGUAGGGGUAAAAUCCUCUGAUCCACUGAAGACCACCAGUGGCGAAGGCGGCUUGCCAGAACGCGCUCGACGGUGAGGGAUGAAAGCUGGGGGAGCAAACCGGAUUAGAUACC
rnacentral:rRNA from 1 species